rnacentral:rRNA from 1 species
GGGGAAUAUUGCACAAUGGGCGCAAGCCUGAUGCAGCCAUGCCGCGUGUGUGAAGAAGGCCUUCGGGUUGUAAAGCACUUUCAGCGAGGAGGAAGGUGGUGAACUUAAUACGUUCAUCAAUUGACGUUACUCGCAGAAGAAGCACCGGCUAACUCCGUGCCAGCAGCCGCGGUAAUACGGAGGGUGCAAGCGUUAAUCGGAAUUACUGGGCGUAAAGCGCACGCAGGNGGUUUGUUAAGCCAGAUGUGAAAUCCCCGGGCUCAACCUGGGAACUGCAUUUGAAACUGGCAAGCUAGAGUCUCGUAGAGGGGGGUAGAAUUCCAGGUGUAGCGGUGAAAUGCGUAGAGAUCUGGAGGAAUACCGGUGGCGAAGGCGGCCCCCUGGACGAAGACUGACGCUCAGGUGCGAAAGCGUGGGGGCAGCAAAACAGGAUUAGAUACCCUGGUAGUCCACGCUGUAAACGAUGUCGAUCUGGGAGGGUUGUGCCCUUGAGGCGUGGCUUCCGGAGCUAACGCGUUAAAAUCGACCGCCUGGGGAGUACGGCCGCAAGGUUAAAACUCAAAUGAAUUGACGGGGGUCAUAGC